UACUUUCCUUUGUAAUAUUCCUCAGCAAGUGGCGGUGUGCGGAGAGCCUCCCUGGUGACCUCUAGCGGCGGGAGGCGAGCUGGUUAAUGGUGUCUGGGGGUGCCUGGGUUGAUUGCACUGGACAAGAGUCUUUCCCGCCACUAGUAUCUGCUGCCAGACACAUUUUCCGCCCACCAUGAGACUAGUUAUCCUCGCCAGCUUCCCUUAAGGGGUCUCGGGACAACCAUCACCUGUGGAGGCUGUGGUGUCCUGCACGAGACAAUGGGCUAUAUUCUCAAACCCCCUGCGCCGCACCACUAAUACAUUCAAAAGGUUCCACGUAGAUGAAGUUACACGGGUUUUUAAGUGUGUAGUUACGGUUCAUGUGACAGAUUAACAAGAAAUCACUAUUGGAAACUGGCUAAUCAUCUCUGUGGUCCUUGAAAACAGUCAUGAUGAGACAGCAGGGCGUUACAGAACAUGAGAGAAUAGAGGGACGGGAGGAAGAGAAGUGAAGAGCUCCCUAUUCACUCGGCAACAUUGGAAAGGCAACCAAGAACUGAGAAACAUGUUGGGUUAUUACUUUCUGGCUGGGAAGCACCACAACAUUCUAUAUCUUGCUCAGGCAACAACAAAACGAGAUCUUAUCAAAUGAAGCACCCUAAUGAAUAAAUGAUACGUGAGUGAAAUAGCAAAGGAACAUCAAAGAAACAAUACAUAACAUAUUAAAAAACCUAUGAAUACUAAAUAAGAAGAAAGAAAAAAAUAAGCUGUAAAAUGUAUGAAUUAAACUUGAUUAUACAUUCAUCUAUUCAACCCGCUCUCUUAGCAAGCAUUCAUUCCAAAAGGCGGAGGGAAAACAAGAACACGGCUAAUAAGUAAAUGGAUGCUUAACAGAAGAACACUUAGACGAGAUGGAAAAAUGGAGAUCGACUUUCACAACGAGGCAACAACCACGAAACACUCCGGUGCCCUGGAUUUGUAUAAGCCUGGAGUUCAAUCUUUGGCGAACGAGUAACAACAUUCACCCACGCGUUGUCCAUUUAGCAGCAGUCUUCCCUGGCGGCCACACGUCAAGGGGAGCACGGAGGAGCAGCAACGCGGGUCUCCUACACUGCCAUUCCGCCUCCAAUACAGGUGUAAAAGUACAUAACCUACAAGCGGGCGGUAGGAAAGGCAGGGAACAAAUACCGGAAUAUUGUGAAGCGAUGGAGAGUGCGUUCAUUUUUUAAAACGAACCCCCUACCCCAGUGUUUCCAGAUACUAGUUUUUCCCACAAGGGGCUGUUUUAAAGGCCACAGGGAUGAUUACUCGGGUUGCUGUGGAUGGUUUGCCUGCUGGUGUCUCAGAAUCUUUGUUAAACCAGGAGUAGAAUCGCACAAACACCUUUUAAGAAUCUAGUACCAUCCACUUCUCUUUGUUGAAACUAGACGAGGACAAGACGCCGAUGUGUUUCAGAACGUGUCCUCUGCUUUCAAUUUCUGUAUAAUUUAGUGAGACAGCAUCGUAUCUUGCCAGUGAAACGGUGGCGUCGAAGGGAGCAUCUGCCAUCAAUUGUUCAAAUGAUACCAGGUGCUCCUCAUCUUUAUUCUAUACCAGCUGAACGGAAAGGCAGAGAAAACCAAGAGUAAGCCGCCCGUUGCCCUGCCAACACUCAAAGCGCCGUAAAGGACACCGAGGAGCAACUACAACACGUGAAUAAUAGAAGGAGACGAGCUGCGGGCGCCUCACUGCAGCCAUGUUUGCAAGACGACCUGAAAAGAAAGCCUUGAAGAAAAGAGGGAAGCUGAACUCGUGUAAGAAGGUGAAGGAAAAGAAGAGAAGAGGAGGAAGAACAACAAGAAAACGGAGGAAAAAAGGGAAAAAAGGAGAAAAAAGAAAAGGAUGUGGACAAAGAGAGGAGGAAAAAGAACCAUUCUUUUGUUUAUUUUCUGUCCUCCUUUGCCACAACAGAUGAAGUGACUGAUGGCGUCUCGAGGAAUAAUAAUAGACAAACAAUUACAUACACAUCUUGACGGAUUGAAAGAAAACGGAAAAAAAAGGCUCCCGUGACAAAGAAAAUGGCAGCAGGUCGGUCGUUUAAGGUAACACUGAGGGAAAAAAAAAUUAUACCGAGGUGUUUGUGUCGCUUUCUCUUUUUCAAUUCUUUUUCGCUCUUACACUUUCCGCACGGUGAAUAUAUACGAGGCUUCCUUUUUUUUUAA